rnacentral:rRNA from 1 species
CCUACGGGUGGCAGCAGUGAGGAAUAUUGGUCAAUGGGCGCGAGCCUGAACCAGCCAAGUCGCGUGAGGGAAGACGGUCCUAUGGAUUGUAAACCUCUUUUGUCGGGGAGCAAAAGACGCCACGCGUGGCGUUCCGCGAGUACCCGAAGAAAAAGCAUCGGCUAACUCCGUGCCAGCAGCCGCGGUAAUACGGAGGAUGCGAGCGUUAUCCGGAUUUAUUGGGUUUAAAGGGUGCGCAGGCGGAAGAUCAAGUCAGCGGUAAAAUUGAGAGGCUCAACCUCUUCGAGCCGUUGAAACUGGUUGUCUUGAGUGAGUGAGAAGUAUGUGGAAUGCGUGGUGUAGCGGUGAAAUGCAUAGAUAUCACGCAGAACUCCGAUUGCGAAGGCAGCAUACCGGCGCGCAACUGACGCUCAUGCACGAAAGUGUGGGUAUCGAACAGGAUUAGAUACCCUUGUAGUC